CCAGAACUUUCAGGCCAGCAGGACUUAAGGUCUUGGGAACAGUAAGCAAAGUUUUACCCAAUGGGUCCCUAGGAGUGAUGGUUUGAGAACCAAUAUAGGAAUCAUGACAACUUCUAAAUAUAUCUAACCCAAUUAUAUAUUCUGGGACUGGAAAAAUAGCCACAGGAUGAGUUUGGCAACACACUGGACCCACCAUGAGUUGGAUUUCAUCCACAAUUCUAUUAAUCACCUGACUUCUGAAAUGAAAGCUAUGGAUUCCUUCAAAAUUAAUAAAGAUCGGAUUUGACUGGGGGAGAUCUGAAGAAAGAAAUCAUGGAAAAACUACAAGACAGUGAGAUACAUCUACUUCUGGCAGCACCAAUCUAAUUCAGAGAAGAUGAUGGGCAUUGAAGAACCUCCAUAUGGUGUUUGCUUUCAAUGUAGCAUGCUAGCCACUGGGGGCUCACACAUGCCUGGCAAUCAGCACUAGCCACAGGUUGACAUGCUCAAGGACCUUGUGGAUCUCCACCAGUGCCUUCCUCCUGGCUUAUCACAGCUGAAGUACUUAAAGGUGGACAUGACUCAAGAUUGCAAAGCUUCCAAAUUAUACUCACCAGAGAAGAUUUCCUAGUGGAGCCCUGUAGUUUUCUGCCUGCUUGACGAUUUCUCACUUGAAGAGAUGUCUUUUUUAAUUUUUAUAUUAGCAUAGUAUUAUAAGAAAUGUUUGUGCAUAAAACUGAGCAUA